CCACAUGGUUCCAUUGUCAACAGUGUAGACAGCGUCUGCGACUCUUGGGUGACAUUUACGUCUCACUCAGUGUAACAACUAUAUGCAACUCGGUGCAUGUAGACCGUCAAGAAUGGCUGCUGAAGUUCAAACCUAGCAUCAGAAUGAGGAAGCAAGGGCCUGUCUGUGGGCACCAGAUUCUCCACAUUGCAUCACACAGAGUCAUUUGGUUUGAUUUGUCCUGGCUUCACAAUCACCUCUUUGUUAAAGAGCAAACUGGAAACGCACAAUGGUGAAGUCAGAAUAAUUCUCCAGGUGCAGCCUCUGUCCUCUAGUCAAGGUGCAAGCACUCUAUGACUUGACCAUCCAUCUUCCUCAUUCCAGAGGUUCUGGGGUGGACAUUGGGCUGGACAUGACAGGUCAUGUGCUUUGGAGGAACCUCUCUCCAGAGUUGGGGAACCUCUGAAAGAAACACGAUGGACUCGCAAAGACAAGAACAGGCUUUGAAGUGGCCUGUGACGUUGCUGUAUUUUGACUGAUCUGCACAAAACUUCCAGCACCUUGAAUCUGCGACUGUGGGACUCACACACAGACCACUCCCACGAUCUCAUGUUGUACUAAAUGUGUACUAAAUUUUCAUAUUCCCAUUAUUUUAUUAUUGUCAAAUGUGUACAAUGAGUAAAAGUCACACAGGCACUGAAGGUAGCCUACGGAUCGUUUCAGCGAGGUGCUGAACCCUGGACCCCAAGCUAGCAUGCAUGCUGCGAUGCUACUGUGCUGAUACACUUGUGUUUCUCUGGAUAAACAUGAUAAACAUGGAUAAUAGCGUGACACACGUAAGCAUACAGAGCGUGUAGUGAUUGGAGACUGAUUGGGAAAUGAUUGGGAAGUGUGAUUUAUGUUCACCGCUGUACAAGUGAACGUUCACCUAAAUGACAAAUGAAUAUAUCAAACGUGAUAUGGUUUGUUGAGUAAGUGUGCAGAAUAUUAUCAGUGUAUUAAGUACAUGUUUUGUCCAGUAUAUGUUUUAGGAGCUAUUGUGCUUGUGUUGCUGUGUUUGUAGAAGUAAAGAACCUUACUUUAAA